rnacentral:rRNA from 1 species
GACGAACGCUGGCGGCGUGCUUAACACAGGCAAGUCGAACGGAAAGGCCCUGCUUUUGUGGGGUGCUCGAGUGGCGAACGGGUGAGUAACACGUGAGUAACCUGCCCUUGACUUUGGGAUAACUUCAGGAAACUGGGGCUAAUACCGGAUAGGAGCUCCUGCUGCAUGGUGGGGGUUGGAAAGUUUCGGCGGUUGGGGAUGGACUCGCGGCUUAUCAGCUUGUUGGUGGGGUAGUGGCUUACCAAGGCUUUGACGGGUAGCCGGCCUGAGAGGGUGACCGGCCACAUUGGGACUGAGAUACGGCCCAGACUCCUACGGGAGGCAGCAGUGGGGAAUAUUGCACAAUGGGCGGAAGCCUGAUGCAGCAACGCCGCGUGCGGGAUGACGGCCUUCGGGUUGUAACCCGCUUUCGCCUGUGACGAAGCGUGAGUGACGGUAAUGGGUAAAGAAGCACCGGCUAACUACGUG